CUGCCGGAGGCGACCGCUGUGGGAGUCCGAUUAAGCCAUGCGAGUCGAGAGAAUAAGAUUCUCGGCAUACCGCUCAGUAACACGUGGAUAACUGCCCUGUGCUGGGGGAUAACCUCGCGAAAGUGAGAACAAUACCCCAUGGGUCACUAUGCCUGGAACGGUUAGUGGCUGAAAGCUCCGGCGGCACAGGAUGGGUCUGCGGCGUAUCAGGUCGUAGGGGGUGUAACGUACCUCCUAGCCUUCGACGCGUACGGGUUGUGAGAGCAAUUGCCCGGAGAUGGAUUCUGAGACACGAAUCCAGGCCCUACGGGGCGCAGCAGGCGCGAAAACUUGACAAUGCGAGAAAUCGUGAUCAGGGGACUCCAGUUGGCUGGAUCAAAAGUCCAGUCUGAACCGACUUUAAAUCGGUCGGGUAAUAGGGGCGGGAAAGACCGGUGCCAGCCGCCGCGGUAAUACCGGCGCCCCAAGUGGUCGUCACUAUUAUUGGGCCUAAAACGUCCGUAGCCGGUUUGGUAAAUCCGUGGGUAAAUCAGACAGCCCAACUGUCUGAAUUCUGCGGGGACUGCCAGACUUGAGACCGGGAGAGGUGCGGGGUACUUGCGGGGUACCGGUAAAAUGGGAUCAUCCCGUAGAGACCACCUGUUGCGAAGGCGCCGCACUAGAACGGAUCUGACGGUCAGGGACGAAGCCUAGGGGCACGAACCGGAUUAGAUACCCGGGUAGUCCUAGUGUAAACGCUGUGGACUUGGUGUCGGGG
rnacentral:rRNA from 1 species